rnacentral:rRNA from 1 species
CUGGCGACCGGCGCACGGGUGAGUAACACGUAUCCAACCUGCCGAUAACUCGGGGAUAGCCUUUCGAAAGAAAGAUUAAUACCCGAUGGUAUAAUCAGACCGCAUGGUCUUGUUAUUAAAGAAUUUCAGUUAUCGAUGGGGAUGCGUUCCAUUAGGCAGUUGGUGAGGUAACGGCUCACCAAACCUUCGAUGGAUAGGGGUUCUGAGAGGAAGGUCCCCCACAUUGGAACUGAGACACGGUCCAA